rnacentral:rRNA from 1 species
AUUGAACGCUGGCGGCAGGCCUAACACAUGCAAGUCGAGCGGAGCGGCGGACGGGUGAGUAAUGCCUAGGAAUCUGCCUGGUAGUGGGGGAUAACGUCCGGAACCGGGCGCUAAUACCGCAUACUAUCAGAUGAGCCUAGGUCGGAUUAGCUAGUGGGGGGGGUAAAGGCCUACAAAGGCGACGCUACGUACCUGGUCUGAGAGGAUGAGCAGUCACACUGGAACUGAGACACGGCCCAGACUCCUACGGGAGGCAGCAGUGGGGAAUAUUUGACAAUGGGCGAAAGCCUGAUCCAGCCAUGCCGCGUGUGUGAAGAAGGUCUUCGGAUUGUAAAGCACUUUUAGUUGGGAGGCGUUACCAACAGAAUAAGCACCGGCUAACUUCGUGCCAGCCGCCGCGGUAAUAC